rnacentral:lncRNA from 1 species
AGGCAGGAGAAUGGCGUGAACUCGGGAGGUGGAGCUUGCAGUGAGCCGAGAUAGCGCCACUGCACUCCAGCCUGGGUGACAGAACGAGACUCUGUCUCAAAAACAAAACAACAAAGGAAAUUCUGAGUUUGAGAAGCUUGUGGACAACCAAAAUGAAUAUGAUUAUUAUACGCAAUUUGAUGUAUGGGUUUGGGUUUGGACCUUUAGCAAGGAAUUCAAGAUUCAAGCGUGUUUGGCACAUGUGUGGCAGUGAAGCUCUGGAAGUCAGUGGUCCUUUUUUCUUGUGGGCAGAGGCAGCUGCAACUUGGAAUAGUGACACUAAAUCAGUCUCUGUGUCAAGGCUGUAAGAACCUGGAAGCUUCUACAUCCUAU